rnacentral:rRNA from 1 species
GACGAACGCUGGCGGCGUGCUUAACACAUGCAAGUCGAACGAUGAAGAAGAGAAACGCGAACUUCGGUUCAAAUUUCACUUCGGAUUAGUGGCAGACGGGUGAGUAACGCGUGAGCAACCUACCUCUUACAAAGGGAUAGCCUCGGGAAACCGUGAUUAAUACCAUAUGACACAUUCAUAAGGCAUCUUAAGAAUGUUAAAGCUACGGCGGUAAGGGAUGGGCUCGCGUCCCAUUAGCUAGUUGGUGAGGUAACGGCCCACCAAGGCGACGAUGGGUAACCGGCCUGAGAGGGUGGACGGUCACAUUGGAACUGGGACACGGUCCAAACUCCUACAGGAGGCAGCAGUGGGGAAUAUUGCACAAUGGAGGGAACUAUGAUGCCGCGACGCCGCGUGAGCGAUGAAGGAAUUCGUUUCGUAAAGCUCUGUUCUAUGGGAAGAAAAGGACUGUACCAUAGGAGAAAGCCCCGGCUAAAUACGUG